AGCGAACGCUGGCGGCAGGCCUAACACAUGCAAGUCGAACGAACCCUUCGGGGUUAGUGGCGGACGGGUGAGUAACACGUGGGAACGUGCCUUUAGGUUCGGAAUAACUCAGGGAAACUUGUGCUAAUACCGAAUGUGCCCUUCGGGGGAAAGAUUUAUCGCCUUUAGAGCGGCCCGCGUCUGAUUAGCUAGUUGGUGAGGUAAAGGCUCACCAAGGCUACGAUCAGUAGCUGGUCUGAGAGGAUGAUCAGCCACAUUGGGACUGAGACACGGCCCAAACUCCUACGGGAGGCAGCAGUGGGGAAUCUUGCGCAAUGGGCGAAAGCCUGACGCAGCCAUGCCGCGUGAAUGAUGAAGGUCUUAGGAUUGUAAAAUUCUUUCACCGGGGACGAUAAUGACGGUACCCGGACAAGAAGCCCCGGCUAACUUCGUGCCAGCCGCCGCUGUAACAC
rnacentral:rRNA from 1 species